rnacentral:rRNA from 1 species
AGCGAACGCUGGCGGCAGGCCUAACACAUGCAAGUCGAACGAACCUUUCGGGGUUAGUGGCGGACGGGUGAGUAACACGUGGGAACGUGCCUUUAGGUUCGGAAUAACUCAGGGAAACUUGUGCUAAUACCGAAUGUGCCCUUCGGGGGAAAGAUUUAUCGCCUUUAGAGCGGCCCGCGUCUGAUUAGCUAGUUGGUUGAGGUAAUGGCUCACCAAGGCGACGAUCAGUAGCUGGUCUGAGAGGAUGAUCAGCCACAUUGGGACUGAGACACGGCCCAAACUCCUACGGGAGGGAGGAGGGGGGAAUCUUGCGCAAUGGGGCAAAGUCUGACGGAGCCAUGCCGGGUGAAUUAUGAAGGUCUUAAGAAUGUAAAAUUCUUUCACCGGGGACGAUAAUGACGGUACCCGGAGAAGAAGCCCCGGCUAACUUCGUG